rnacentral:rRNA from 1 species
GACGAACGCUGGCGGCGUGCUUAACACAUGCAAGUCGAACGGAAAGGCCCUGCUUGCAGGGUACUCGAGUGGCGAACGGGUGAGUAACACGUGGGUGAUCUGCCCUGCACUUCGGGAUAAGCCUGGUAAACUGGGUCUAAUACCGGAUAGGAGCCAUUUUUAGUGUGAUGGUUGGAAAGUUUUUUCGGUGUAGGAUGAGCUCGCGGCCUAUCAGCUUGUUGGUGGGGUAAUGGCCUACCAAGGCGGCGACGGGUAGCCGGCCUGAGAGGGUGGACGGCCACAUUGGGACUGAGAUACGGCCCAGACUCCUACGGGAGGCAGCAGUGGGGAAGAUUGCACAAGGGGCGCAAGCCUGAUGCAGCGACGCCGCGUGGGGGAUGACGGCCUUCGGGUUGUAAACUCCUUUCGCUAGGGACGAAGCUUUUUGUGACGGUACCUAGAUAAGAAGCACCGGCUAACUACGUG